CCUACGGGUGGCAGCAGUGGGGAAUAUUGGGCAAUGGGCGAAAGCCUGACCCAGCAACGCCGCGUGAAGGAAGAAGGUCUUCGGAUUGUAAACUUCUUUUAUCAGGGACGAAGAAGUGACGGUACCUGAUGAAUAAGCCACGGCUAACUACGUGCCAGCAGCCGCGGUAAUACGUAGGUGGCAAGCGUUAUCCGGAUUUACUGGGUGUAAAGGGCGCGUAGGCGGGGAUACAAGUCAGAUGUGAAAUCUAUGGGCUUAACCCAUAAACUGCAUUUGAAACUGUAUCUCUUGAGUGUCGGAGAGGUAGACGGAAUUCCUAGUGUAGCGGUGAAAUGCGUAGAUAUCAGGAGGAACACCAGUGGCGAAGGCGGCCUACUGGACUUUAACUGACGCUGAGGCGCGAAAGCGUGGGGAGCAAACAGGAUUAGAUACCCGUGUAGUC
rnacentral:rRNA from 1 species